rnacentral:rRNA from 1 species
AGAGUUUGAUCAUGGCUCAGAUUGAACGCUGGCGGCAGGCCUAACACAUGCAAGUCGAGCGGCAGCGGAAAGUAGCUUGCUACUUUGCCGGCGAGCGGCGGACGGGUGAGUAAUGUCUGGGGAUCUGCCUGAUGGAGGGGGAUAACUACUGGAAACGGUAGCUAAUACCGCAUAACCUCGCAAGAGCAAAGUGGGGGACCUUCGGGCCUCACGCCAUCGGAUGAACCCAGAUGGGAUUAGCUAGUAGGUGGGGUAAUGGCUCACCUAGGCGACGAUCCCUAGCUGGUCUGAGAGGAUGACCAGCCACACUGGAACUGAGACACGGUCCAGACUCCUACGGGAGGCAGCAGUGGGGAAUAUUGCACAAUGGGCGCAAGCCUGAUGCAGCCAUGCCGCGUGUGUGAAGAAGGCCUUCGGGUUGUAAAGCACUUUCAGCGAGGAGGAAGGGUUAAGUGUUAAUAGCACUGAACAUUGACGUUACUCGCAGAAGAAGCACCGGCUAACUCCGUGCCAGCAGCCGCGGUAAUAC